GUUUCCGUAGUAUAGCGGUUAUCACGCUUGCCUAACAUGUGAGAGGUCCUUGGUUCAAAAUCAAGCGGAAACA